AACUAACGCUGGCGGCGUGCCUAACACAUGCAAGUCGUACGAGAAAGUUGGCUUCGGCUAAUGAGUAAAGUGGCGCACGGGUGAGUAACGCGUGGAUAAUCUGCCCUUCAGCCGGGAACAACCCAUCGAAAGGUGGGCUAAUACCCGAUAAUACGGCAUCACCUAAGUGAUGUCGUCAAAGAUAGCCUCUGUUUACAAGCUUUCACUGGAUGAUGAGUCCGCGUACCAUUAGCUAGUUGGUAGGGUAAUGGCCUACCAAGGCUACGAUGGUUAGCUGGUCUGAGAGGAUGAUCAGCCACACUGGAACUGAGACACGGUCCAGACUCCUACGGGUGGCAG
rnacentral:rRNA from 1 species